GGCUCAGGACGAACGCUGGCCGCGUGCCUAACACAUGCAAGUCGAGCGAGAAAGCCCGCAAGGGUGAGUAAAGCGGCGCACGGGUGCGUAACACGUGGGUAAUCUUCCUUGGAGCCCGGAAUAACUCCCCGAAAGGGGUGCUAAUGCCGGAUGAGACCACGGGAUCUCCGGAUCCUGAGGGAAAAGGCGGCCUCUGUACACAAGCUGUCACUCCAAGAUGAGCCCGCGGCCCAUCAGCUAGUUGGCGGGGUAAUGGCCCACCAAGGCUACGACGGGUAGCUGGUCUGAGAGGACGAUCAGCCACACUGGAACUGAGACACGGUCCAGACUCCUACGGGAGGCAGCAGUGGGGAAUCUUGCGCAAUGGGCGAAAGCCUGACGCAGCAACGCCGCGUGUGUGAUGAAGGUCUUCGGAUCGUAAAGCACUGUCGGGAGGGACGAAUAAGGCGGCGGCUAAUAUCCGCAGCCGAUGACGGUACCUCCAAAGGAAGCACCGGCUAACUCUGUGCCAGCAGCCGCGGUAAUACAGAGGGUGCAAGCGUUGUUCGGAAUUAUUGGGCGUAAAGCGCGUGUAGGCGGCCUUGCAAGUUGGGUGUGAAAGCCCUCGGCUUAACCGAGGAAGUGCGCCCAAAACUACAGGGCUUGAGUACCGGAGAGGGUGGCGGAAUUCCCGGUGUAGAGGUGAAAUUCGUAGAUAUCGGGAGGAACACCAGUGGCGAAGGCGGCCACCUGGACGGAUACUGACGCUGAGACGCGAAAGCGUGGGUAGCAAACAGGAUUAGAUACCCUGGUAGUCCACGCUGUAAACGAUGAGCGCUAGGUGUUGUGGGUGUUGACCCCUGCAGUGCCGCAGCUAACGCAUUAAGCGCUCCGCCUGGGAAGUACGGCCGCCAGGCUAAAACUCAAAG
rnacentral:rRNA from 1 species